GCAGAUGUUGCCUCUCUCUCUCGCUCGGAUUGGUUCAGUGCACUCUAGAAACACUGCUGUGGUGGAGAAACUGGACCCCAGGUCUGGAGCGAAUUCCAGCCUGCAGGGCUGAUAAGCGAGGCAUUAGUGAGAUUGAGAGAGACUUUACCCCGCCGUGGUGGUUGGAGGGCGCGCAGUAGAGCAGCAGCACAGGCGCGGGUCCCGGGAGGCCGGCUCUGCUCGCGCCGAGAUGUGGAAUCUCCUUCACGAAACCGACUCGGCUGUGGCCACCGCGCGCCGCCCGCGCUGGCUGUGCGCUGGGGCGCUGGUGCUGGCGGGUGGCUUCUUUCUCCUCGGCUUCCUCUUCGUAACAGAGGCAAGCUUGGGAACUGUGUGAACCAGGUCAGCAAUCUGGACAGGUCUUUACCAGCGGGUCUUUUGCUGUUUUUCCUGGGUACUGAUUUGCAGACUUGAUCCAACUUUCUAAGAAAAGCAGAACCACACAGGGUGGUUUAUAAAAUCCUCCAAUGAAGCUACUAACAUUACUCCAAAGCAUAAUAUGAAAGCAUUUUUGGAUGAAUUGAAAGCUGAGAACAUCAAGAAGUUCUUAUAUAAUUUUACACAGAUACCACAUUUAGCAGGAACAGAACAAAACUUUCAGCUUGCAAAGCAAAUUCAAUC
rnacentral:lncRNA from 1 species